GGGUCAGUAGGUUGGUCGUGCCACCGGUACGUACUGGUCUCACUGACUCCUCCUUCCUGAAGAACCGUAAUGCCAUUAAUUUGGUGUUGCGGGGAGACAGGACUGUUACUUUGAAAAAAUUAGAGUGUUUAAAGCAAGCUAACGCUUGAAUACAUUAGCAUGGAAUAAUGAAAUAGGACGAUCGAUCCUAUUUUGUUGGUUUCUAGGAUUGACGUA
rnacentral:rRNA from 1 species